UACGGGGGGGGCGAGCGUUGUUCGGAAUUACUGGGCGUAAAGGGUGCGUAGGCGGCUUUCUAAGUCGGGUGUGAAAUCUCGGAGCUUAACUCCGAAACUGCAUUCGAUACUGCCGUGCUUGAGGACUGGAGAGGAGACUGGAAUUUACGGUGUAGCGGUGAAAUGCGUAGAUAUCGUAAGGAAGACCAGUGGCGAAGGCGGGUCUCUGGACAGUUCCUGACGCUGAGGCACGAAGGUCAGGGGAGCAAACGGG
rnacentral:rRNA from 1 species